GGCCUGCCCGACACUCUUUCCCUGUUGCACUACUGUGGGCCACUGGGAAGCAGUGCAAUGAUGAAAGGGCAUCGGUCAGGC
rnacentral:pre_miRNA from 1 species